GAAAAUGUACGUACCUACGCGAUAUUAGGUGCGCUGCAAUGUUUCACGUCAGGAAAGGGGAGGUUUUCCCUCGGGGAAUAACCCGGAGAAUUUAAUUCCGUGUUGCCGUGACGUUUCUACGGCAUAGUAAAACGCGUACCUACCAUCCUUUGUUCCGUGGAAGCUGAUUUGUGGCCACUGCGCGCGCGGUGUUUCGGGUUAGCGAAAAAAAAAAGAAAAAAAGCUGCGGAGAUAUGACGGUGUCUUCUUUGAGAAUGUGACGACGAGAAGGUAAUACGUAUAUGUGUAUAGAUACCUAGG